AAUGAACGUUGGCGGCGUGGAUUAGGCAUGCAAGUCGAGCGAGAACCGUAGCAAUACGGGGACAGCGGCGCAAGGGACAGUAAUGUGUAGAUCAUCUGCCCUCAGGACCGGGAUAGCUGCGGGAAACUGCAGGUAAUACCGGAUAACAUCUCCGGAUCAAAGGUGUGAUUCCGCCUGAGGAUGAGUCUACAUCCUAUUAGCUAGUUGGUAGGUAACGGCCACCAAGGCGAUGAUGGGUAGCGGGUGUGAGAGCACGACCCGCGUCAUUGGGACUGAGACACUGCCCAGACACCUACGGGUGGCUGCAGUCGAGAAUCUUCGGCAAUGGGCGCAAGCCUGACCGAGCGACGCCGCGUGUGUGAAGAAGGCCUGCGGGG
rnacentral:rRNA from 1 species